rnacentral:lncRNA from 1 species
UCAAAGACUUUGAGAAGUAAAACAGAAGUUUCCAUCUUCAUGGUUCAGAUUCUUCCUUUAGAGGAGUUCCUGCAGCUACAGGACUAGGAGGUUGUAGACUUCCCCUGAAGACAUACAGAGAAAAUGGUUCAAGUAAAUGCUCCUCCAUUAUUUCAGUGAAGCCCAAGCAUCUGCUCUGUGGGUAGGUGCAAAAUACAUGGAAAAUAAAUCAGUCGUGGAUCCCUUCUCUAAAUUACAGCCUCAUUCAGAGGUUAUGGGAACUUCGCAAGGAUAUCAGACAUACUCCUCUCAUAACAGGAAAGAAGACAAGCUGACUUUCUCUGCAGAAUUUUUUGAAGUGAAUUCUGAUUGA